rnacentral:ribozyme from 3 species
GAAGUAACACUGCCAGUGCCGGUCCCAAGCCCGGAUGUAAAAAGGUGGAGGGUUUA